ensembl:lncRNA novel transcript
AGGGGACCAAGCCUACCCCGGGGAUGGAAAAAUCCGGCUGAGACGGCCUGGGCCGCUGCCACGCGCGGGCGUUAUUCUCCACCCACCUGCGGCCUGAAGAUGCCUGAGGCCCGGACUCUCAGACCCCUAUUGCCCUUUGGUGCUGGAGGCCCAGCGGCAGCCUGAAGCCCAAGAGAGUGGAGCCUCGCGAAAUGAGGAACCUGGCACAAGGUUUGCUUGGAAGCAGGAACGACGGAGUGUGGCUACGUGCCCUAUUUGCCAUUAACGCUUUCUUGCAUGGCAGUGAGAGAUGAGGGCAAGGGAGGUGGCAUAAUGCUCCCGGCCGCUUGGGACUCGGAGAGACGGCAUUUAAUAAAUCACACGCGGUAUUUGCGAAACAGUGGUCGAGAUUCGUCUUCCCGGGUUCAUUGCGUCAUUAAUAGGCGGGAACAGUGCCCCUGUGUUGAGGCUGCAGAGGCCCUAAUUGGUUUUCCCAAGACAGAGGGGCAUAUGAGAUUGAACAAAUAUUUGUUGAAUGAAUGAACAAAGGGAACGCCUUUUAGGGAUGUUUCUGGGGGAAAGGCCUGAGGUUCUCCAGGAGGGUCUGCAGCUAGGGUCGGCCGUGGGGGCUCGCAGCCCGCGGGACCACCGGACCUGCAAGCGUCCCCCUGCCCCGCCCCCGCCUCGGCGCUCUGAGCAAUUGGACUCUGCCAGCUCUAACUCCGGCGGGACUCUGAAACUCAGAGACAGGAUUUCACCAUGUUGGCCGUGCUGGUCUUGAACUCCUGACCUCAAGUGAUUUGCCUGCUUUGGCCUCCCAAAGUGCUGGGAUUACAGACAUGAGUCACCAUGCCCUGCCUGCAGCUUCUUCUUGAAGUGUUCUGGACUUGGAAGAUUUGUUGAAUUACUAUGAAGUCACAUCUAAAGUUUGAAAGAGAUCGGGUCUCACUAUUUUGCCCACGCUGGUCUUGAACUCCUGUCCUCAAGCAGGAUAUCCUCCUGCCUUGGCCUCCCAAAGUUCUGGGAUUACAGUCUCGCUCUGUCGCCAGGCUGGAGUGCACGCUGGAGCGCGAUCUUGUCUUACUACAACCUCUGCCUCCCAGAUUCAAGCGAUUUUCCUGCCUCAGCCUCCCGAGUAGCUGGGACUACAGGGACGCACCACCAUGCCCAGCUAAUUUUUGUAUUUUUAGUAGAGAUGUGGUUUCACCAUGUUGGCCAGGAUGGUCUUGAUCUCUUGACCUCGUGAUCCACCCGCCUCGGCUUCCCAAAGUGCUGGGAUUAUAGGCAUAAGCCACCACGCCUGGCCUGAAAUUAUUUUUCUAUACAGUUCUUAGAGGAAGUGUUUGGGUCACCUACAUAGGCAUGUAGUUCUUGACACUGGUUACUAGAGGAUUUAUAGAGGAUGUUCAUAUAUUCAACAAGCAUUUGUUGAAUACCUAUUAGGUGCUAGCCAUGGAAAUAUGGGAUUGAAAAAAACAGACAAAAAUCCCUAAUCUCUCUUACAAUCUAGUGAGGACAAUCAGACAGUACACAAAAUAAGCAUAAUAUAUAGUAAUCAUGUGGUAGUAAGUUCUAUAGAGCAAAAACAAGUUUAAAGAAGGAGGUUGGGGGGAGUGUUGAGAUGCAUAAGGUUUGCAGUUAUAAAUGUGGUGGUUAGGGAAUCAUUUGCUGAAAAAUGAACAUUGAGCAAAAACCUGAAGGAUGUUAAAGGAAUAAGAUACAUGUAAUCCAGAUGAAAGUUUUUUGGAUAAAGGAAAGAGCAAUUGCUAAAUCCCUGAGGUGGGAGUGGGCUGUUCAUAAGACAGCAAAGCAGCCAGGGUAGCUGAGUGAUUGACAGCGGAAGAUGGAAAAUGGGGAAUAGUUGGUGUAGGACCUAGUUGUGAGGAUAUUGACUUUGUUUUUUUUCCAAGACAGAGCUGUGCUCUGUCGCCCAGGCUAGAGUGCAGUGGCAUGAUCUUGGCUCACUGCAAUCUCCGCCUCCCGGGUUCAAGCAAUGCUCCUGCCUUAGCCUCCCCAGUAGCUGGGAUUACAGGCACCUGCCACCAUGUCCAAUUAAUUUUUGUAUUUUUAGUAGAGAUGGGGUUUCGCCAUGUUAGCCAGGCUGGUCUUGGACUCCUGACCUCAAGUGAUCUGCCCGCCUCAGCCUCCCAAAGUGCUGGGAUUACAGGCGUGAGCCACCAUGCCCACCCUAGGAUAUUUACUUUUAUUUUGAAUAAGGAUGCCACUGGAGGCCAGACGUGGUGGCUAACGC